rnacentral:rRNA from 1 species
AUUGAACGCUGGCGGCAUGCUUUACACAUGCAAGUCGAACGGCAGCACGGACUUCGGUCUGGUGGCGAGUGGCGAACGGGUGAGUAAUACAUCGGAACGUACCCAGUAAUGGGGGAUAACUAUCCGAAAGGAUAGCUAAUACCGCAUACGCCCUAUGGGGGAAAGAGGGGGAUCGCAAGACCUCUUGUUAUUGGAGCGGCCGAUGGCUGAUUAGCUAGUUGGUGAGGUAAAGGCUCACCAAGGCGACGAUCAGUAGCGGGUCUUAGAGGACGAUCAGCCACACUGGAACUGAGAAACGGUCCAGACUCCUACGGGAGGCAGCAGUGGGGAAUCUUGGACAAUGGGCGCAAGCCUGAUCCAGCAAUGCCGCGUGCGUGAAGAAGGCCUUCGGGUUGUAAAGCGCUUUUGUCUGGGAGCAAAUCCUUGUGGUUAAUACCCACCGGGGAUGAGAGUACCAGAAGAAUAAGGACCGGCUAACUACGUGCCAGCAGCCGCCGCCGUAA